rnacentral:rRNA from 1 species
CGUAGGGGCAAGCGUUGUCCGGAUUUACUGGGCGUAAAGAGCGUGUAGGCGGCCAAGCAGGUCCGUUGUGAAAACUGGAGGCUUAACCUCCAGACGUCGACGGAAACCGCGUGGCUAGAGUCCGGAAGGGGAGAGUGGAAUUCCUGGUGUAGCGGUGAAAUGCGCAGAUAUCAGGAAGAACACCAAUGGCGAAAGGCAGCUCUCUGGGACGGUACUGACGCUGAGACGCGAAAGCGUGGGGAGCGAACAGGAUU